rnacentral:rRNA from 1 species
AUUGAACGCUGGCGGCUUGCCUUACACAUGCAAGUCGAACGGUAACGGGCCUUCGGGUGCCGACGAGUGGCGAGCGGGCGAGUAAUACAUCGGAACGUGCCCGAUCGUGGGGGAUAACGAGGCGAAAGCUUUGCUAAUACCGCAUACGAUCUACGGAUGAAAGCAGGGGACCGCAAGGCCUUGCGCGGACGGAGCGGCCGAUGGCAGAUUAGGUAGUUGGUGGGAUAAAAGCUUACCAAGCCGACGAUCUGUAGCUGGUCUGAGAGGAUGAUCAGCCACACUGGGACUGAGACACGGCCCAGACUCCUACGGGAGGCAGCAGUGGGGAAUUUUGGACAAUGGGCGCAAGCCUGAUCCAGCCAUGCCGCGUGCAGGAUGAAGGCCUUCGGGUUGUAAACUGCUUUUGUACGGAACGAAAAGCCUUCUUUUAAUACAGGAGGGUCAUGACGGUACCGUAAGAAUAAGCACCGGCUAACUACGUGC